AAGGACUCUCCAAUCAAUAAGCUGCUUUAUGCCCGGGACAUUCCUCGCUACAAGCAGAUGGUGGAAAGGUAUUAUGCAGACAUUCGUCAAACCAUCUCUGCCAGUGACCAGGAGAUGAACUCUGCCCUGGCUGAGCUGUCACGGAAUUACUCAGGUGACCUCAAUUCCCUGGUGGCUCUACAUGAAUUGUACAAAUACAUCAAUAAGUACUAUGACCAGG